ensembl:lncRNA
ACAAAGCGGCGAUGAAACCUCGAAAAACACGAACCUUAGAAGGAGGACUAGCAUCUUUAGAUGAAGUGAACACUUCUGUACUCUACACUUCUCCACUAGAGGCCAAGGGAACAAGUGUGCAUCUGUCCAGCACCAUCCACGAAGACAUUGAUGUCUAUGGAGCUCAUUUUCAAGCCCCGCCCACUGCAAACUGGGCAUUUCCCAAACCAAGAGUAUCAGAAGCACAGACGGAACCACCAAGCCAGCAAACUCCAUCAAAGCGGGGUUCGAGUUUCUCCAGAGAGAUAAAUCAAGGAACCCUUAAAGAGUUUGGAUAAAGUUCCUCAGGUUCCUCGUGAUGUGGAACCAAGAACCGUUUCACACGUCAGGAGGACGACGGGGGAAGAGUCGAAGUCAGGGGGCCCAGGACACGGUUAAAGACGGAAAUGCAGAUUUAAUGAAGGAACGAAGUGAAGAACUUUUAUCUCCAAAUCGGCCUCAAGCGUCUGAAACCCCGGAAUCCCUCAGCGACU